rnacentral:rRNA from 1 species
AGAGUUUGAUCAUGGCUCAGGAUGAACGCUAGCGGCAGGCUUAAUACAUGCAAGUCGAGGGGCAGCACGGGUAGCAAUACCUGGUGGCGACCGGCAAACGGGUGCGGAACACGUACACAACCUCCCCUUGAGGCGGGGGAUAGCCCAGAGAAAUUUGGAUUAAUACCCCAUAAGAUAUUGUCCCGGCAUCGGGAAGAUAUUAAAGAUUUAUCACCUUAGGAUGGGUGUGCGUAUGAUUAGGUAGUUGGUGCGGGUAACGGCCCACCAAGCCAUCGAUCAUUAACUGGUGUGAGAGCACGACCAGUCACACGGGCACUGAGACACGGGCCCGACUCCUACGGGAGGCAGCAGUAAGGAAUAUUGGUCAAUGGACGGAAGUCUGAACCAGCCAUGCCGCGUGAAGGAUGACGGCCCUCUGGGUUGUAAACUUCUUUUAUCUGGGACGAAAAAGGGCCAUUCUUGGUCAACUGACGGUACCAGAGGAAUAAGCACCGGCUAACUCCGUGCCAGCAGCCGCGGUAAUAUGGAGGGUGCAAGCGUUAUCCGGAUUUACUGGGUUUAAAGGGAGCGCAGGCGGAUUGGUAAGUCAGUGGUGAAAUACCCGUGCUUAACAUGGGAACUGCCAUUGAUACUAUCAGUCUUGAAUGUUGUUGAGGUUUGCGGAAUGGGUCAUGUAGCGGUGAAAUGCAUAGAUAUGACCCGGAACACCUAUUGCGAAGGCAGCAGGCUAAACAAAUAUUGACGCUGAGGCUCGAAAGCGUGGGGAUCAAACAGGAUUAGAUACCCUAGUAGUCC